rnacentral:rRNA from 1 species
UGGAAGUUAAAAAUCGUAACAAGGUUUCCGUAGGUGAACCUGCGGAAGGAUCAUUACUGAGUGAGGGCCCCUCGGGGUCCAACCUCCCACCCGUGUUUACCGUACCAUGUUGCUUCGGCAGGCCCGCCUCACGGCCGCCGGGGGGCCUCUGCCCCCGGGUCCGCGCCUGCCGAAGACCCCCCUGAACGCUGUCUGAAGAUUGCAGUCUGAGCGAUAAGCAAAAUUAAUUAAAACUUUCAACAACGGAUCUCUUGGUUCCGGCAUCGAUGAAGAACGCAGCGAAAUGCGAUAACUAAUGUGAAUUGCAGAAUUCAGUGAAUCAUCGAGUCUUUGAACGCACAUUGCGCCCCCUGGUAUUCCGGGGGGCAUGCCUGUCCGAGCGUCAUUGCUGCCCUCAAGCACGGCUUGUGUGUUGGGCCUCCGUCCCCCCGCCCCGGGGGACGGGCCCGAAAGGCAGCGGCGGCACCGUGUCCGGUCCUCGAGCGUAUGGGGCUUUGUCACCCGCUCUGUAGGCCCGGCCGGCGCCUGCCGACCCCCAAUCAUCCUUUUAUCAGGUGACCUCGAUCAGUAGAAAACC